UGAGGAAUAUUGGUCAAUGGGCGUGAGCCUGAACCAGCCAAGUAGCGUGCAGGAAGACGGCCCUAUGGGUUGUAAACUGCUUUUAUGCGGGGAUAAAGGAGUCCACGUGUGGAUUUUUGCAGGUACCGCAUGAAUAAGGACCGGCUAAUUCCGUGCCAGCAGCCGCGGUAAUACGGAAGGUCCGGGCGUUAUCCGGAUUUAUUGGGUUUAAAGGGAGCGUAGGCCGCGUUUUAAGCGUGUUGUGAAAUGUAGACGCCCAACGUCUGCAUCGCAGCGCGAACUGGGACGCUUGAGUACGCGCAACGUUGGCGGAAUUCGUCGUGUAGCGGUGAAAUGCUUAGAUAUGACGAGGAACUCCGAUUGCGAAGGCAGCUGACGGGAGCGGCACUGACGCUUAAGCUCGAAGGUGCGGGUAUCAAACAGGA
rnacentral:rRNA from 1 species